AGGAAGCCCAAAGAGUACUCCCAAAAAUUUAUGAAACACAGAAAACUUGGCCUCCACUGGUUAAGACCUCUGAGAGAGAAGGCAGCCAAGGUAGAACAUGUUUUUCUGCUCCUCUCAGAUGGGCAGCCCUAUACUGACCAACAUCUG